UGCUGAUAUAAAGAAAGGAUUCCUGGUUCUGCUUCUUGUGGGACUGUCAUGUGACCAACAACUCAACAACUGGCUCGCAGCCUGUUUGCCUGACUACUUGCCCCCAAGCCAUACCGCAUACCUCACACCGCCGUGGACAGAGCUCAUGGCGCAGCACACCUCCAUCACACCGCAGCGCUAACGGUUCCUCGGCUCAGCAUAUUAAUAAUGCAGCGUCUUCAUCAACAAGACGGAAAACUGAUAAAGUUGUGUGUCAUCAGUACGUUGUGGGAUCUUAAUUUGCACUGCAAAAGUUCAAACAUAGCCCCUGGAUAAAAUCUGUUGUAUUGUUCUAAG